rnacentral:rRNA from 1 species
CUUGUACAGGAUAGGUAGGAGCCUUUGAAACGUGAGCGCUAGCUUACGUGGAGGCGCUGGUGGGAUACUACCCUAGCUGUGUUGGCUUUCUAACCCGCACCACUUAUCGUGGUGGGAGACAGUGUCAAGCGGGCAGUUUGACUGGGGCGGUCGCCUCCUAAAAGGUAACGGAGGCGCUCAAAGGUUCCCUCAGAAUGGUUGGAAAUCAUUCAUAGAGUGUAAAGGCAUAAGGGAGCUUGACUGCGAGACCUACAA